GGCAGAGUGGUCAUGCAGCGGACUGCAACUCCGUGUACGCCGGUUCGAUUCCGACC
rnacentral:tRNA from 1 species